GUGUGCGGGCCGCAGCGCGGGGAGUGUGCGCGAGCCGGCCGGGCGCUGCAGCCAACAGGCGGGCCGGGUGCCGCCGCGGGAGCGCCGCCGCCGGUGGGGUGGGGGGCAGAGCUAUAAAGAAGGCCCAGAGGGAAACGUCUGUUCAUCAAGGCAAACUUGUGAAUUGCUUCUUCUACGGAGUACUUAGUCUGCCCGGAAACACAUGCCUCAAUGUCUUCUGAAUUCAGAUGGCUUUGCAGGAAGAGGUGAAGGCUGCUAUCUGAAAGCAGAAGUGCAUUCUGUAGGACCCUACAUAAAAGAAAAAAGGAGACAUGACCAGUGGACGGGGAUGGACAAUUAUAGGGUGGGAAAGAGAAAAAACAUUAGAAAUGUGCCACUGAAGUAAUUUCUCUACUAUGGCAAACUUGGCAUCAAUUGCGACUCUUCCUAUUAAAGGGAUGAAAGCAUAUGUUAACUUUUAUUCGAUUAUUUGGAAAUUUAGGUGAGUAAAAACAUGAAGCUAAUAGUUAAGAACAUCUGUUAAAAGAAUAACUUCAAGGACAUUUCUUCAGUUUAACCAUCUGUUGUGACCAUGUGGAUUAAUUAUGGAAAUAUUUUGCUUAGAUAGUCCCAGAAAUUUAUUCUGCUUUUAAAAAAUUUACUGCCAACCAGCAUGUCAAUUCUGUGAUCUUUAUUGGCUAGGCUGUCAUGAAACAUCAAAACUUUCAACGACUAUUAAAAACUAUAUUGAAAAGUCAAUAGAUUUCUCAGCAUGUCUUACAUUUUCAAACUUUACGAGGAUGCUUAUAUACACGUUCACAAGGGCUCGUUGCGAGGUGGCUUUUUUGAAUACUUAAAAUUGACUGGAAAUUUCUAUAAAAUCUUCAGCAGCACUGCGUAUCUAUUUUAAAAUGAGUCCCUAAAUAAAAUUGCUCCCAGCCAAUUUUACCAUAUAUGUAAUUAAAGUAUGAUAAUUUUGUAAUAAGUACAUACUAGCCUUCCCACAUGCAAGAUCAAAGUUUACAAAGAGAGUACAAAUUUCAGCAGGUGCAUCAGAACUACAUGGAGAAUGAAAAACUGCCCUGUAGCAAAAUCUGCACGUGCUCAAAUUCAUAUUAGCAGUGAAUGUGUCUUUUUCUGAAAUGCAUGUCAAAGAAUACCCUUAUAUUUAAAUAAAAACUGGUUUUCUCUUUUUAGCAAAGAUUUUGAUGUAUGAUAAUUUAGUCUAUUAAUAGCUCGAUAAUGAUAUAACACAGACACUAAAACCAGAUAUAGGGGACAAAACUGAAACACUGAAACCCAAGUAUAACUCUGUCCAACAUGGGAUUUUUCAUAUAGAGGUCUAUGAAAAAGAGUAUGUAUUUCAUACCAAACGAAACUUAGUUUAUAUUCUGCAUUUUUUAAACAAGUAAUUAGAUAAGUAAAUCUCUUUUGGCCAUUCAUAUCAAUUUACUAAAAAUCCAAGGCCACUGGAAUACUUCCUUCUCUUCCAAAUAAAACAGAAUUAUUUCUUCAAGAAGGCGAGCGUCUAAAAAUGCACAGUAUCAAAACCAAAAUCUAGCUGUCCUCUUUGCUUCAAAUAAGCUUACAAAUGUAGUUUGAGAAAUAUUCUUUACUGACCUACUAAAAGGAAAAGGAAAACCUUUGUGCCUUUUUAAAAGGCAAAGUCUCAAGCAAAGCAGUUAAAUAUUUACACUCCCUCCAUGUCCUCUGCCCUGGGUGCCCUCAGAAGAUGACCAUAUCACAUGAUAAAGAUUAAUUUACCAAGUAUAAGGAGUAAAGUAGUAAAUCCCUUUUACUACUCUUUGAGAUUUAUUUUCUACCUUUAUAAAUGUUUACCACUCUUGUUUUAAAUGCUUCAAAUCAAGAGAAGAUUUAUAUAGCAACGACCCAUUAAUAUUACCUUGCAUUUGCUGUGAAGUUUGAACGGAGUGUUUCCUGUGUCCUUUUGUCAGUGGUUUCCUGCCAGCGAUGUUACAAGUAACUGUUCAUGGGAUUAUACUUACUGCUUUGUUUCUGUUGGAAAUGUAUUUUCUUGAUAAAAUAAUGGGUAAUCUUUAAAAUUGAUUUUAGAUGGUUUGAGGCAUUACACCACAAAAGUAAUGAGCACUAAUGCCAAUGAUAUUGGACACAAAUUCAUUUUAGCGUUAUUUCAUGUCUAAAGCAAUUCUACUGAGCCUUGAACUGGUCAUACACUGUUAUUAACUUGCUAGUAACCUAACACAUGGGUACAGCAAACAAAAGUGAUCGAGUCCAGGUUGAUCGGGACCUCAAGGCUACUGUCCUUUUUCUUGAGCUAUAAUUCAAUUUCCAAUUUUACUGUGCAUUAGACUCAUUUCCCAGUGUUUUCUUUUCUGCUUAAUACUGCCAUCUGGAGGACACACAGGUGAACAGCCAGAGGGAGCCUGGCACACCCAGCUCACAAUUCUAAACUGGGAGAAGGAUGUUCAGGGAACAUCUGAACACCCACACAGGCCCUGAGUUCAAAAACAUCUGCCAG